UCCGUAGGUGAACCUGCAGAAGGAUCAUUAGAAAAUUUGUAAUCAAAAACCCAAAUCAUUUAUAUAUAAUUAAAACUUUCGAAAAUUCUAAAAGAAAACUUUAGAAAACUUUCAACAACGGAUCUCUUGGCUCUCGCAUCGAUGAAGAACGCAGCGAAAUGCGAUAAGUAAUGUGAAUUGCAGAUUCCGUGAAUCAUCGAAUCUUUGAACGCAAAUUGCACUCCUUGGUAUUCCGAGGAGUAUGCUUGCUUGAGUGUCCGUUUAUAAAAUAUCGCGAUUGAAUAUUUGACAUUCGCGGAUUUGGGUCAUCCGAUUCUAAUUAUUUGAGUCUAUUCGAUUCGAGCUUGGAUUCGGAGAUCUUAAAUUAAAAAUCAUUUGGUAUGAUCAAAAUGGGCUAUUAUUAUGUUAAUGUUGUGUAUUAAUGUAUAAAGUAGAUCGUUGAUAAUCUCACCAGAAUUUUUACAAUCGAGUUUGGACCUCAAGUCAAGUAAGGAUACCCGCUGAACUUAA
rnacentral:rRNA from 1 species